rnacentral:rRNA from 1 species
GAUGAACGCUGGCGGCGUGCCUAAUACAUGCAAGUCGAGCGAACGGACGAGAAGCUUGCUUCUCUGAUGUUAGCGGCGGACGGGUGAGUAACACGUGGAUAACCUACCUAUAAGACUGGGAUAACUUCGGGAAACCGGAGCUAAUACCGGAUAAUAUUUUUAACCGCAUGGUUCAAAAUUGAAAGACGGUCUUGCUGUCACUUAUAGAUGUAUCCGCUCUGCAUUAGCUAGUUGGUAAGGUAAAGGCUUACCAAGGCAAAGGAUCAUAGCCGACCUGAGAGGGGGGAUGGGCACAAUGGGACCUGAGCACCGGUCAAACUUCCUAGGGAAGCAGCAAGAAGGGAAUCUUCCGCAAUGGGGGAAAGCCUGACGAAGCACCGCCGCGUGAGUGAUGAAGGUCUUCGGAUCGUAAAACUCUGUUAUUAGGAAAGACGAUAUGUGUAAGUAAAUGUGCACAUAGUGACGGUACCUACUCAGAAAGCCACGGCUAACUACGUG